GGAAGGUGCUGUAGCUCAGUGGUUAGAGCACCAGCCUUGCAUGCAGAAGGUCCCAGGUUCAAUCCCUGGCAUUUCCA